CAAAGAAUAGUUUAUAAAAAUAAUAAUUUUGGAGAUUAUAGAUAAAGAAAAUCUUUUUCUUUGA
rnacentral:tRNA from 57 species